GACGAACGCUGGCGGCGUGCUUAACACAUGCAAGUCGAACGGGCCUGUCUUCUUUUUUGGGGGUGGGUUGAGUGGCGAACGGGUGAGUAUCACGUGAGUAACCUGCCCUUCGGUCCUGGAUAACCGCUUGAAAGGGCGGCUAAUACGGGGUGGUCCGGUUGGUCCGCAUGGGCUGGUCGGGAUAGAUUCACUGUUUUUGGUGUUUCGGCGGGGGAUGGGCUCGCGGCCUAUCAGCUUGUUGGUGGGGUGAUGGCCUACCAAGGCGGUGACGGGUAGCCGGCCUGAGAGGGUGGGCGGCCGCACUGGGACUGAGAUACGGCCCAGACUCCUGCGGGAGGCAGCAGUGGGGGGUAUUGCACAAUGGGCGGAAGCCUGAUGCAGCGACGUCGCGUGAGGGAUGGAGGCCUUCGGGUUGUGAACCUCUGUUUCCGGUGGUGAAGGCCCUGUCCGUGUGGUGGGGUUGACGGUAGCCGGGGAUGAAGCGCCGGCUAACUACGUG
rnacentral:rRNA from 1 species